rnacentral:rRNA from 1 species
AUUGAACGCUGGCGGAAUGCUUUACACAUGCAAGUCGAACGGCAGCACGGACUUCGGUCUGGUGGCGAGUGGCGAACGGGUGAGUAAUGUAUCGGAACGUGCCCAGUCGUGGGGGAUAACGUAGUGAAAAUUACGCUAAUACCGCAUACGAUCUAUGGGUGAAAGCGGGGGAUCGCAAGACCUCGCGCGAUUGGGGCGGCCGAUAUCAGAUUAGGUAGUUGGUGGGGUAAAGGCCCACCAAGCCAACGAUCUGUAGCUGGUCUGAGAGGACGACCAGCCACACUGGAACUGAGACACGGUCCAUACUCCUACGGGAGGCAGCAGUGGGGAAUUUUGGACAAUGGGCGAAAGCCUGAUCCAGCCAUUCCGCGUGCAGGAUGAAUGCCCUCGGGUUGUAAACUGCUUUUGUACAGAACGAAAAGGUUUCUACUAAUACUAGGAGCUCAUGACGGUACUGUAAGAAUAAGCACCGGCUAACUACGUGCCAGCCGCCGCGGUAA